UAAAAGUCGUAACAAGGUUUCCGUAGGUGAMCUGCGGAAGGAUCAUUAUUGAAAACUUUGGGGAUAUUGUUGCUGGCCUCUUAACGAGGUAUGUGCACAUAUUUCURAUCUAUUCAUCCACCUGUGCACUUUUUGUAGAAGUUUCUUUUCGAGUUAGUACACAUGUGUCUCUAAAGGACCUUGUAAGAAAAUUCGAUAGAGCUUCUAUGUAACACAAACUCGUUAUGCAUGUUAUAGAAUGUUAUUUUACUGGGACUUGAUUGACCCUUUAAACUUAUACAACUUUCAGCAACGGAUCUCUUGGCUCUCCCAUCGAUGAAGAACGCAGCGAAAUGCGAUAAGUAAUGUGAAUUGCAGAAUUCAGUGAAUCAUCGAAUCUUUGAACGCACCUUGCGCCCUCUGGUAUUCCGGAGGGCAUGCCUGUUUGAGUGUCAUUAAAUUCUCAACUUGAUCAGUUUUUAUAAUUGAUUGAAGCUUGGAUGUGGGGGUUUGCUGGCAUCACCUAGAUGUUUUCCGGCUCUCCUUAAAUGCAUUAGUAGGAACCCGCUAGUUGGCAUCCAUUGUGUGAUAAUUAUCUACGCUUUGGUUAGUUCAACAGCUCUAAUAAAGCAUUAUACUUCAGGACACUUUGGUGUUUCUGGUUUGGGUUUUGUACUUUUUGUGCUUUACCUGUUUAACUUGGGGUUUUGUACUUUUGUGCUUUACCUGGCUUUCAAUUGGAGUAGGAACUCUGCUUUCUAACUGUCUGUUAUUACGGACAAAUUUUUUUUUGAUAACUUGACCUCAAAUC
rnacentral:rRNA from 1 species